GUGGUGCUUGACAGUUUUUAUAAACAAAUCAAAAUACCUCUGCUCUCCACAGUGCCUAGUUAGCUGUAUGCUUUCCAAGUUCUCAGUGCUGAAAGUGUGGAAAGUUAGAUCCUCUCCCAGCAAAGAAAGAGAGACUGCUCAUUGCAAGAGAUAUGAAAGAAGAAUCCUGUCUGCACAAGAUUUAUGGCUGGGAGAAACUGCACUCUGUCUCUUGCUGUCCACCCAAGUAUUUUGGGAAGUACCAACAUAGAAAGAAUAAUGGCUGUUAGAAAAUCCCAAGAUGAGCUGUUCCCCUGAAGAAUGAGAAGGAAGAUAAAGGCAAUUUCUCUUUUUCUUCCAUUUCUCCAUUCUUUUUGGACCCAGCUGAAGGAAUUUCACAUCUGGAAACAUGAAGGAGAAUCAUGAAGUCUCUGAUGCUGAGACACACUAUGCCUUAUACUAAGCACUUUUGCUGCAUAGCAAAAUAGUUUUACUCUGAAUUCAAGACUGAGGCAUCAAACAAGUUUCAUCAGUCAUCCACAUUUGACCUGGAAUCAAGGUGCAGAGAAAAAUGAAGGUAAUAUGGUAUAACUUGAACCCUGUGCAUAUUGAACUAAAAGCACCAAUUUGGUUCUUCUGUGACUACCUUAUCUCCAUUAAAAGAAGAUAAUAUCAAAAAUCAAAAUAUCAAAAAUUUGUUCUGUAUUUAAUAGUAAAGAUAAGGUUGCAAUUAUUUAUUUGCAC
rnacentral:lncRNA from 1 species